rnacentral:misc_RNA from 1 species
GCUCUUAAACUAUUUAUUCAGAAUAAAUUAUUUUGCUAAAAAAUAUUAAAGUAAAUAAGGAAUAGGUAUAGAAAUUUUUGGCUCAAAAUAGAUUUGUAAAUUGGUGAAGACCUGUAUUUUAUGGAUCUGGAAAGCUUGGGUAUAUAAGGAAAAAGUAUAAAAAGUUCGGUUUGGAAUAGCUAUACAAAGACCCGUAUUUUUACGGGUCCGACCUCAACUAGUUUAAAAAUAUUGAGUUAGACAACACUGUUUUAUUGUCGACAGGAGGAACUCCUUUAAGUCUGCUGAUUGGGAAUAAGCCAACCCUUAAAUCUCUACCCUGAAUUUCUAUUAUAUCAAAAAAAGCAUGAUAUGCCAGGCUGUAUUAUUGAUUUAAUAGCUAUGGAAUUAAUGAUAGUGUCACACACUUUAGAUAACAACUACUCAGUGGAAAAAGUGGAAUUUUUAACCAAAAAUAUAGUUAAAGAAAAUAAAACUAUUUAAACUCUCAUUAAAGAUCUAGUGUAUGUCAAAGAUCCAGUAUCACUAGUUAAUCAUGUUUGCAUUGCUAGGGGACUAGAAAUCGAUAAUGUUAUUAUUCGUGUAGGAAUAGAUAGUGGCCAUGGAUCUUUAUAAGUUAUUAUGAAUGUUUUUAACAGAGAAGUAAAUUAUAACUCCAAAGAAACCAAGAAUACUGAAGUGAACAAAGUUAUAAUAUUGGUUUUUGCCAAAAUGUUUGCGAAAACCACACAAAUCUUCAAAUUUUUAAUGAAAAAACAAAGCUAAACAAUUUAAAGUUUUACUUUGCUGCAGAUCUUAAAUUAUGCAACAUAGUUUUGAGUUUGUCAGAACAUGGGGGAAAAUAUUCAUGUUUAUUUUAUGAUGGUGAUAAAACUAAUCUUGGAGAACUGAGAAACUUUAAUAUGCUUAAGAAUAUGUAUAAAAACUUUGCUAGAAGUGGAUUUAAAAAAAGCUCUAAGAAUGUUAUACAUCCAUGUCUCAACUCUAUAAGAAUGUUAUACAUCCAUGUCUCCUGGUUGAGUCUGAAGAGAUGUAUGUGCUUGAUGUCAUCCCUCCUCCAGAACUUCAUUUAAUGAUAAAGAUUAUAACAGAAAUUUCAAAUGUCUUCUGUAAGGAACCUGAUAUUGCUCUCUGGAUAAAAAAACAUGGAAUUAUUUGGCAUGUGUAUAAUGGAGGUGGACUGGAUGGUAGAAAUGCUAACAAAAUACGGAAGCUUUUGCCAGAUUUGGAAAAAUUUAUCUUAGAUAACUUUUUUUCUUACCAUCCAGUUGUUGAACUGUUUAAGUCUCUGCUAAAGUUUCUAGAGUAGUAAACAUGUGUUUCGGAAUGAAACUCCAUGACGGUUAUGCUGAUGCCAUUGCAACAGAUAUAAGGAAGUUAAAGCUGCUGCUGAAAUGCAAAUGAAUAUAAAUGAAGAUAACACUGAAUUCGAUAACUUAAAAGUUGAAAAACUUUCAAGAGAUGUGCUUAAAACGUUUGCAGAUAAGUUGCCAAAAGAAUGGAGAGAACUAGCUCGUUUCUUGAAUAUCAGUGAUGAAGAAAUAAGUCGAGUGGAACACGAGUACGAUAAAACUCGAGAACAAAUUUAUGAAAUUUUUAAAAGUUGGUUUAGAAAUAAUCCAAACAAAAAAUGGAUUGAUAUUAAAUCAGGAUUGAUAUUCUGUAAACGAAAAGAUGUUAUUGUUAAAUGUCAAAGAAGUAAGUUUAUUUCUUUGUUUUGUUUUAUUGAUAUUAUU